rnacentral:rRNA from 1 species
GAUGAACGCUGGCGGCGUGCCUAAUACAUGCAAGUCGAGCGAACAGACGAGGAGCUUGCUCCUCUGACGUUAGCGGCGGACGGGUGAGUAACACGUGGAUAACCUACCUAUAAGACUGGGAUAACUUCGGGAAACCGGAGCUAAUACCGGAUAAUAUAUUGAACCGCAUGGUUCAAUAGUGAAAGACGGUUUUGCUGUCACUUAUAGAUGGAUCCGCGCCGCAUUAGCUAGUUGGUAAGGUAACGGCUUACCAAGGCAACGAUGCGUAGCCGACCUGAGAGAGUGAUCGGCGACACUGGAACUGAGACACGGUCCAGACUCCUACGGGAGGCAGCAGUAGGGAAUCGUACGCAAUGGGCGAAAGCCUGACGGAGCAACGCCGCGUGGGUGAUGAAGGUCUUCGGAUCGUAAAACUCUGUUAUUAGGGAAGAACAAAUGUGUAAGUAACUAUGCACGUCUUGACGGUACCUAAUCAGAAAGCCACGGCUAACUACGUG